ensembl:lncRNA
CGGAGAAUGAAGACAUCCCACAUUUGUGGGAUGUCCUCUAUUUCACAACUUGAAAUUAGGAAAUAUAAAGUCGCCAAGGGAAAUUGAUACAUUUCUGCUCUGCAAAUGAAGAAAGAAGCAACAUAGACCGAGUGCAGUGAGGUUUACCGGAUGACUCGAUAAACAAAGAUUGCUGCGGCCAUAGUGAAGGAGCAUGGUGUGCUUCAGGGACAAGGACAGGACCGUGGUUUACUAUCAGCUGCUUGGGGGCAAACACGACGUGAACCCACCGGUUGUGGGGAUUGAUUGUGCCGGUGUGGUGGUACGCCGGCCAGGUGAACUGAGCCAUCCAAACAGUGCUCCCUGACCAGCAACAGCCCACCAGCUCCCCUUCCCAGUCUCCGGCUUCAUUGACAGCCAGUCCCACGCCAUGGUGAGUGCCCACCAGACCCUCUGACACCCCAAGGUCGCGCAAGCGGCAGAGGGAGGAUGACAUUUUGGACUACCUUGAGAGGUCUGAUGCUGCUGCGACGGCUGCUUCCGACAAAUUGAUGAUGCCACUGAGGGAGGAUCAGAGCAAGCUACCUCCAGUUGUUCAGCAAGAUAGUGGAAAAUAUCUGAGGCGGGCACGAUAACGGACCAACAAGACUUCUUCCAUUCUAUUUUUUUGUAUCUACUCAUUUUGUAUUUUAUUUGCGUUCAAUCUUUAAUUGACUUUCACCUUUCUAUUUUAUGUUAAAUUAACCUUAUGUUUCAAUUUUAUUUGCACUCAAUCU